rnacentral:tRNA from 1 species
GAGGGCAUAGUUCAGCGGGAGAGUACAUGCUUAGCAUGUACGAGGUCCUGGGUUCAAUUCCCAGUACCUCCA